CAUUUAUGUAUUUUAUAUAUAUUCGUAUAUAUACAUGUGCUGAAAGUUCACUUUUUUGUCCUUUUCAUUCUCUUUCAGGAACCCACUAGAUCCAUGGAUCAGGCAUGCAACAACCCUACAGUGACCGAAUUCUUGAAGUUCAAAGAUAUUCCUGUCAUUUUUGCCAGUGCAGAUGAGGAUGACCUCUUGGAUCAUUGUCUCACUUACUACAGGUUAGAAAGAUAUGGUAACAUGCAUAAAUACAUUAAGUAUUCACAGACUAAACAAAUUCUAGCAAGUGUUGGUAGGAGACAAUAAACAAAUAUAAAACUUAUUGCUUACUUAUUUUUUAUACUGCAAGAUAAACAUGUUUUCCCUCUCUCCCACUGCCACUGGGCAGUGUGGAUGCAUAUAAUGUUUAAAAUAUUUAAUUAUGGCCAAGACAGUGAGCAUUAUUAGGUUCAGUGACUUGUAUAACUGUGCCCUGCUGUAGGGAAUCUACUUUAGUAGGAAGAUUGGAAUCAGUGAUCUCUAGAGGUCCCUUCCAAUCCCUGCAAUUGUCUGCUUUUAAGUCAUGCACGUGCUAUUUCUCUGAAACACUGAAAUAACUCAGAUUCAUACGCAGCCUUUGCUGCUUAUUCUAAUUUGGGUUUUUUGUUAUACACAGUCAACAAAUGUACAGUUGGAAAAGUAGAAUGGUUAGGAUAUUAUUUUACAGGUGUUAUAGUUGGAAAUAUUAUUGUGGUGGAAAAGAGAUAAUCAAGGAAGAAAUGCUCACCUGCAUCCAAGGAUCUAGGCUCACAGUGGAAAACUCCAAAAAGGAGGAAUCACCAGAAAGUAAUCCUUUCCUAGUGGCAGUCAACCCUUAAAUGGGGUCUAGGCUUGCUCCACCCCUUCUGAUCACACAGGUGGAUCACCUGGUCUAGUAAAAUAGUACUAGUACUAGACACAGGUCUAGUAAAAAUCACCUGUGCUCCCACAGCUGACCCAGUCCUUGCAUCAGGUGAUCAAUCAGUGGUUCAAGCCAUGACUCAACAGUUCCCAUACAUGUUAUUACUUGAGAACUGCUUAUACAUGCAGCCUCAUAUAGGAGUCUCUUGUAGAUUUGUUUGGGUUUUUUGUUUGUUUUUUAGUGUAUGUUUUUGUAAUUGUUUUAUUUGUUUUGUUUUUUUAGGCUAAAAUAACUUCACAUAGGUGGCUUAAUUCUGAAUAUCUACAAAAGCUGAAAGGUCUUACUGUGAUCCUCUUUGUACAGUUGAGGCCCACUGAGUGUGCAGAAUCAGAUCUCAACAGGUAUAUGAGUUAUUUGUUAUUAAUUUAUUAUUGGGAUGAUAAACAAAUGGGUGAUAAACAAAGGAAUAAGCAAAUAGUUUGAAUGGAAAACAGAUUUUAUUUGCAAUAAAACAGAAGCAAAAUUUGCA
rnacentral:lncRNA from 1 species